rnacentral:rRNA from 1 species
AACGAACGCUGGCGGCAUGCCUAACACAUGCAAGUCGAACGAGACCUUCGGGUCUAGUGGCGCACGGGUGCGUAACGCGUGGGAACCUGCCCUUAGGUUCGGAAUAACUGCCCGAAAGGGGUGCUAAUACCGGAUAAUGUCUUCGGGCCAAAGAUUUAUCGCCUUUGGAUGGGCCCUCGUUGGAUUAGCUAGUUGGUAGGGUAAAAGCCUACCAAUGCGACGUUCCAUGGCUGAUCUGGGUGGAGGACACGCCACACUGGGACUGAGACACGGCCCAGACGCCUACGGGAGGCAGCGGUGGGGAAUAUUAUACAAUGAACGAAAGCCUAAUCCAGCCAUGCCGCGUGAGUCAUACAGCCCUUAGGGUUGUAAAUCUCUUUUACCCGGGAUGAUAAUGACAGUACCGGGAGAAUAAGCUCCGGCUAACUCCGUG